UACGAAGGGGGCGAGCGUUGUUCGGAUUUACUGGGCGUAAAGGGCGCGCAGGCGGCAGAUCAAGUCAGAUGUGAAAGCCCCGGGCUUAACCUGGGAACUGCAUUUGGGACUGGUUUGCUAGAGAUCGGGAGAGGAGAGUGGAAUUCCCAGUGUAGAGGUGAAAUUCGUAGAUAUUGGGAAGAACACCGGUGGCGAAGGCGGCUCACUGGCUCAUUUCUGACGCUCAGGCGCGACAGCGUGGGGAUCAAACAGG
rnacentral:rRNA from 1 species